GCAGUAGCCGCGGGAAUACGUAGGGUGCAAGCGUUGUCCGGAAUUAUUGGGCGUAAAGAGCUCGUAGGCGGUUUGUCGCGUCUGCUGUGAAAUCCCGAGGCUCAACCUCGGGCUUGCAGUGGGUACGGGCAGACUAGAGUGCGGUAGGGGAGAUUGGAAUUCCUGGUGUAGCGGUGGAAUGCGCAGAUAUCAGGAGGAACACCGAUGGCGAAGGCAGAUCUCUGGGCCGUAACUGACGCUGAGGAGCGAAAGCGUGGGGAGCGAACAGGAUUAGAUACCCGAGUAGUCCCUGUCUCUUAUAA
rnacentral:rRNA from 1 species